UGGGCCUGGAAGAAGAGGCUUCGAAGCCUUAGGAAACCAAGAGGUGGAUUGGGCCUGGAAGAAGAGCCUGCGUAGCCUUAGGAAACCAAGAGGUUAGUCUGAUUUUUCUAAAAAUGCUUCUAUGAAGCAGGAAAUAAAUACACAUAUUCAGUAAAGGAUGCUCCUUAUAUUGCGGGUGGAUUGGGCCUGGAAGAAAAGCCUUCGAAGCCUCAGGAAACCAAGAGGUGGGUUGGGCCUGGAAGAAGAGCCUUCGAAGCCUCAGGAAACCAAGAGGAUGCUCCUUAUAAUGCAGGUGGGUUGGGCCUGGAAGAAGAGCCUUCGAAGCCUCAGGAAACCAAGAG